rnacentral:misc_RNA from 1 species
UACGUAGGGGGCAAGCGUUGUCCGGAAUUAUUGGGCGUAAAGCGCGCGCAGGCGGCCUCUUAAGUCUGAUGUGAAAUCCCCCGGCUCAACUGGGGAGUGGCAUUGGAAACUGGGAGGCUUGAGUAUAGGAGAGAAGAGUAGAAUUCCAGGUGUAGCGGUGAAAUGCGUAGAGAUGUGGAGGAACACCGGUGGCGAAGGCGGCUCUCUGGCCUAUAACUGACGCUGAGGCGCGAAAGCGUGGGGAGCAAACAGG